CUAACAACACACAACAUUCCAGGAAUGUACUACCAAAGUUCUAUCAAUAUUUGAAUGUCCUGGACAUUUAGGGAACAUUCGGUGAACAUCUGUUUAAAUUAUUCCUGGAAUGUUACCAUAAGACAUUCUGUGAACAUACUACCAAUGUUCCUAUAUUUUAAGUUGCGAAAUAAUACAUACGUGUAACAGAUACAACAUUACUUAUAACAUACCAGACAAACUAAGUGACACUUUAGGCCUACAGUGCAAUAAUAUGUCAAAUUUAAAGAGUUUCCCAAGUUCAAUUAAUACAAUAUUAUAAACAUACAAAUGUAAUAAAAAUUAUUGUUCGCGAAUAUUCAAUUUGGAAUGCGAUUUUGUUAAUAAAAAAAAUACUUAUAACUUAUGCAAAACCCAAGAGAGGCAUUUAUAUUUAUUUCUUUUGCGUUCAUUUUCAAAUUCGCCGUGCAUAUAUUUUUGUGCAUGGCGCUUGAGAGGGCAUCACGUGACUAAAAACGACCAACCAACGACCUCGCUUCGGCCAUCUUGGCAUCUUCAUCUUGGCCAGCUUGCUUUGCCGUGGGUGGAUCGUUGUUUGUAUUAUUUGUGCUUUUUAAGAAUAUUUUUUUAAUUCGGAUACUUUUAUAAUAGCUUUAAUAGUAUUAUUAACAUAGUGAAUAAAAUGGUGUCCUGUUUUUAACGCAGUUGGAGUAGUAGAAACAAAUGUAGAUAAAAAAAUCUGCAGGAAUAACGUUUCAAUUAUGACAGAAGCUCCAAACAAAUGACUGUGAAUGAAAAGCCCUAUUAAAAGCUUUCCAGAAGAUCCUGCGAAGAAGACAUGAAGUAUAGAUCAGAUUUGUUAAUAGAGGAGUAUGUUCAAAACACUUUUUAGAAAAAGAUAUUGACAGAACUUCACUUUCAUCUGUUCGUUUAAGAGACUGUGCUGUUCCAAUAGCUUAUGUCACACAGAAUCAGCUGAGAGAAGUGGUCUACAAAAAACCAGAAAGGAAACGGAAUAUGUGGCUACGAAAAGCAAAAGAAAGGUUUACAAAGCAAAUGUGACACAUUUUUUUAUAAUAUUUAGGAAUGUCAUUAAAUUACAUUAAAAAAUGUAUGUAAAGAUUUUUUGCAAUAAAAAUGUUUAUAUUUAUCAAGGAUGUAUUAUUUGGUAUGGCCACAUAUCGUCAGUGAUGUGACAAUACCUCCUAUCUGUUUUUUUCAAGAGAUUUGUAAGAUAGACUAAAAACUUGUUUCGGCCACCUCCUGUUUUCAUAUAUUUUUUGAUUUGUUUUGCAGUAAAUUCAACUAUCUAUUUACUACAAA